UCAACUAAAGAAAGGAGAAGGGAUGGAUAUGAGAGAUAUAUUGGGCACGUGCAAACGAGGACUCGAGCGUCAAUCGAUAUUUGCUCGAAAUAAUCGAUAAGGAUCGGUGUCAAGUUUCGUUUAACACUUUAUCUCAUUCGGCAUGCUUGAAAUUCACGUCGAAGUCCCAUUUCCAAGAAUUAGUGGCGUUAGCGACGUAUGCUUAAAUGAGCACUACAAUACAGCAUUGAAGGUUAGCAUUUGUCUAGUGAAAACAGAUUAACAAUAAAAAAAAAUGUUGCUUUCUUUGUGGUGCGCUAUAGUACAAUACCAUAGGUGUCAAUAAUAAAUUAUUAGAUGGAAAGAGAUGGCAAAAAAAACGGAGAACACGCGGGGAAAAUUGUUACAAAUUUCCGAAUAUGUUUAUAACAAGUUUGUUAACGCUCAUGCUGUUAUUCGUGAUUUGAGCUUUUGAAGAUGGACACUAGAAGCUAUUGAAGAAAUAGAAUUUCAUUAUCAUGAAGAAUAAUUCAUAAUACAAUUCACGUGGCAUUUGUAUUUUCGAAAUUAUUUAUCUAUUCUUUAAGUGUCUAUUCAUACACGUAAAAAUGGAUGAGGAAUUGCUAGAAUAACUGGACGGGCGAGUAGAGAGGAAACCAGAGGAUAUAGAGAAGAAGUUGAAGGGAAAACUAAAUGUCAAAGCAUGCGGAUACGGUAGAAUAUACGAAAGGAAAAUGUCUAAGAAGAGGGAGUAAGGAGACGGGAAAGGAGGAGAGAAGAGAAACUAAACAACGAGGACAGCUUGAUUAUGUGAAUAAUAUCAUGGUUUUCUUCCUACGUAUUUUGCAAACUCUUGGAGUAUUAUUAGUCACUAUAUAUUAUAUCCGAAAAUAUGAAAAUGUACAAAUAGUGCGAUAAAUAACUUACUUACUUAUAUACUUACUUCUUUAAUUGCUUAUUAAAUAUCUAUAUUAUUUGCUACGAGAAAGAAUAAAAGAGAAGUUUGACAAUCAUAUUAAUAAUGACAAAUUCUUACGAAGAUAUGUUAUACCUGCAGUUCUAUUCUUUUCUUUUAUUUCCAUUUGGUAUAUUCACUUAUUGUGUAAUAAGAGACAGAAGUAUAUAAUAUAAAUUACCUUACUUUUGUAAUUGUGCAAUACA
rnacentral:lncRNA from 1 species